UAAGCAGGGGAAGUAGCAAAUCUAGGAAACAAAAGAGAGUGGGUCGAAACCUGACUGUCAAAUCUACAUAUUCUCUCUCUCUCCCUCUGAAGAUUCGAUUCAGUCGCCGAUCAUUAUUCAUCUCUGCUGUUUCAAUCUCUUUCCUUUGCCUCUCUCUACCACAAUAAUGUUCUCAGAUAUUACGUUCUAGGGGCCAGAUUCUUUCUUCACCAACAUAGAGAUAGAGAAAAAUGGAAGGGGAUUAUACUGUUAAUGGUGGUAGAGAGAUAGAUGGCAAAGUUAUGAAGACAUUUCAAAAGAGCUUUGUUCAAGUUCAGAACAUAUUGGACCAGAACAGGCUGCUAAUCAAUGAGAUUAAUCAGAACCAUGAGUCCAAAAUCCCUGACAAUUUGAGCAGGAAUGUUGGUUUAAUUAGAGAACUCAACAACAACAUCAGGAGAGUGGUUGACUUAUAUGCACAUCUUUCAGGUAAUUUCAACAAAUCAAUGGAUGUUUCAACUGCUACACACAAAAGGGGUAGGCCUGUUUAAACCUCAGACCUUUCUUUUUCUUCUCUGAUGUUGUAGAGAAGAUGAAUUAUUAGAUUGUAUUAUAAACUCUUUAGUACCUACCUCCCCAUUUUACAAGAGAAAAUAAUGACACCCAAAUUCUGUUAAUGUGUACCUCCAGAUCUAAUUGAAAGAAGAAUGUCUAUAUCUUCUAGUCUUUCUGCCUUUCUGGGUAUAUUCUUGAUUAUGUCCAUAGUUCAAAGUCAACUGACCAUAAAUAGUUUGCGAUUGAGGAGUAGUUGUUAUUGUUGUUCUUAAGCCUAAUGAUAUAUUGAUAUUUGAUUUGGGUCUUUAGUGUCUUUACAGACUUUCUCUACCACUCUCAUUUAAUGGAAUUUCUUCCUUCAUUUCUGCUCAAAGUUUCUUUUCCAUAUUACCCCAGUUGUGAGAAGUGGAAGUUGUAGUGGCUGGCACUGCUUCUCUAUUUCUAAAACAUAUGAUAUUCAAAAGUCACAAGCUCGAUUAAUCUAGAUUCGCACUCACGUGUAGGUCUAUUAAAGGUGUAAAGUGUUCCUUACCAAGAUGUUCUCCAUCAAGGAUGGUAAGAAAUCAAAGUUCCUCUUACAAAAAAAAA